GGAUUUUGCUUAAAUGUCUUGUCUUUAGUGAGACUUCCAUGAUUAAAUAAGAUAAAUGAAUGAUUGUUGAUGCAAAUGCCAUGAGAGUUAUGCCCACAAAUAGGAUCUUCAAGCAAAUAUUCAACUUGUAUCAAGCACAGCCAUUCUGCAAAAACAACAUCUCAGUAGCACCUGUGGCCAAAGAGAGAUGAUGAAAGAGAUCAUCUGGAAGGAAGAAAAAUGCUCUUUCUUUUCACUGUGAUGGUUUGGUGACAGUGAUCAAAACAAGUAAAGUCAUUCAGAUAUAUACAUAUUUAUGAAAUAUGACAACUUGUAUGUUUCAUUUCUACGUAUUAAUCUGGCUCUCCUUUCUUGGAUAAAUUUCUCUAACAUAUAUUAAUGGAUUUCCCUUGAAAAGUGAUCAUUUUUCUUUUUUUAUUUUGCAAGUAGCCAUGGUUUAAGUUUUGUUAAUUCCUACUGAAAAUUCUCAGCCUGCAAAAUCAAAAAUAGUCUUCAGCAAGACCUUUUUGAACAGCAUACAUUGAGGGGAGAUAUUUACAUCCUACUGUGGUUGAGGCUAUUAGUUCUACUCUUAUAUUUAUCGCUCUUAGAACAUUUUGCAACAUUAUUCUAAUAAAUGCAGAUGAUUAGUACGUUAAUACUCACAUAUCAUGCACUCAUGGUUAAUAUAAAACUGCAUGUUUAACUUCUUAAAAGAAUAGUAGAUAGAAGAAUAUACAGUGGUUACAUUUUUCUGAAGAGCAGGAUCAAAAUAUACACUUUUUAAAAAGUUAACGUAUGAGAAAAAAUAUAUGGAGAAAUAUUUUAUUAGCAUUAGACUCUCAAAUUUGCUUGCUAACUUAAAAAUAUCUUAUUCUCAGAAUACGCUCAUAUUAAUUUCUUUAAUUAUGCCAAAUGAUCCAUGCGUGUUAUGUUCUGCAUUAAAUAUCUGUUGUCUUUUUUCUUUUCCUUUCUCUGUUAGUGAAUUGUAUAGAAACCUAACCUCUGGUGCAUAAAUCAAAAUGCUGCUUCAUUUCACUCUCAUUAUCUUCCACAAACAAGACAUAUUUAAUGUGGACAUGCGCAACUGAUAUAACUUAAGACUCAUGUUUGAGGCAUGUCAGUCCAUUCUCAGAAGCAUGAGGCAGCACAGGAAUAAGCCAGAGUGGGACCUGGUAACGGAGCUUCCCACUGGGAGGAUAGACUCUGGGGAAGUGAGGUUAUUGCUAAGACAUUUUUUUGGAACUUUGUGCUAUUAGAGAAGUGUGUGGCCAACUCCAUGGGGACUCAGAUGAACAGCUAGCUCUGGUGUCUCAAUCAGGUGGACAAAGCAGUAAAUAAGCACAUCUGCCUCUGUUUCAGAACAGUGGAUUAUCAGUCACCUGAUGGGUAUAUGAGGCUUUGCUCCAUUCCUGCAGCGAUGACUGGAAAAAGCUGGGAACAUGUACCUACAUGCGUAUAGGGUUCAGGUAGUUGCAUAAACAAGGAAAGCAGGCCAUGUGCAAUACAAUGGGGAGUGGUGAGACCUGUAGAAAAGGCCCUGUUUAAUGGGAACCACUGUUGCUCAGUUAUAACUCACCAUUGCCAUUUGUUUUGAAAGCAGGCCAACUAGUGUCAGAAUCUCCAGUUGUUUCCAGGAAAGCUAAAAGACCCAGAUUUAAUGUGAAACCAUGUUUUAUUUUUAAAAGUUUGUUAAAAAUAUUUGUGAUAAUUUUAGAUUUAUAGAAGAGUUGCAAAAGUAGUGCAGAGGGUUUCUGCGUAUUUUUACCGAGUGUAUAUGUUUCCUAGAGCUGCUGUAACAAGCAACUACAAACUUGGUUGCUUAAAACAAUAGAAAUUUCUUCUCUGGCAGUUUUGGAGGCCAGUGGUCUGAAAACAAGGGUUCUUUCCCUUGCACGCUUUGAGAGGGAAUCUGUUCCAUGCCUCUCUCCUAGCUUCAGGUGGUCUUCAGCAACCUUGGCAUUCCUUGCUUUGUAGACACAUCACUUUGAUCUCUGCCUUUCUCUUCACAUAGCCCUCCCCUCUGGGACUCCUUUCUUUUAUAAAGACACCAGUUAUUGAAUUUAGUAAUCACCCCAAAUCCAGACUUACUGCAUUUCCAGUUCCUUAACUUACAUACA